ensembl:lncRNA
AAGAGGAAUGUGAGCGGGCGGAUUUCCUUUAUGGCUGUGUAUCUUUUAUGGUUGUGUUUAACGCUCAACUUGUCUAGCGUGUGUUCGAGAGUUCCUGAUUGUUGGUUCAUUAGUGAUAAAAAUGGCUUCUGAAGAAGUGUCAUGGGAGAGCAUACGGCAGAGGAAACCCUGGACAAGGUGCCAACCCGUCGCAGGACGCUUUAGAGAUGCCAAUCAGCCUACACCAUGUCUCUGGACAGGGGGAGGAAACCGGAGUACCUGGAGGAAACUCCGGAUGCACAGGGAGCAUGCAAACUCCAUCAUUUUUGCUGAGGGCAUUUUCUCCAUCCUGAUCAAUCACGCUCAAAGCGACUCAUCACAAUGGCUCCGACAGGCCUGUCCCAUCUGCUCGUUAACAUUGCUCCGCUCUGACGUUUGUGAGAACAGGCGACUGUUCGCCUCCAUCGUCCUUCAGGAAGAAACAUGACGGCGCACUUUAGAGAAAGGAUGGAGCGAGUCGGUGCCAGCGUUAUGCGGCGUGUGAUGGAUGCAGUGCGAAAUGCCGCACGUCCUGCCAGGCUCCGGGACGACUGCGGUGAACACACCGGCGUGAUGUCGGAUCACAAAUCUGCUGCUACACAUCCUGCUACCGGUGCUGAUGAACUGAUUCAUUUAUCUGGAAUCGAU